AUGUUCCCUGUUAUUUUUGUUGCAGCAUCUCAGGCUGCGAAAAUGGAGCAAGAAUCUUCUGCUGCUGGGAGCUCCUUGAACCACCUGCUGGGACUCCCGCACGGGGUAGACAACAGGGAGUUUAUGCACUGCACGGGGACCCACCCCAGCGCAGACUAAACCCCACUGUCCUGGGACCAGCGGGCACAAAUGCCGGAACAUCCAGGACUAUUUUCGUUGUUUGUUUUAGAAUCUCGGCAGGCUCUCACAUGCUAGCAGGUGGAAGCUGUGGUGAAAAUUCUGGGGGCUGCCUGCUCUAUGUCACCCCCGUCUCGAAGGGGUUUCCCCUCAACGGGCAGGAGGCUGCGUUGCUAGGGAGCGUGUUGCCAUAGCACCAUCAGAUUUGUGAUUCCUCCAGGGAGGGGGGAGUGACCCCCCCAUAUCCCUCCCUCCUAGAUCCCUGGGGGAACCAUGGUGGGCUACAGUCACCUGGCCAUGGUGCUGGCUGUAGCCACGCAGACUCUGUUCCAGCCAAUCCUGAGCCAAGGCACUAAUAUGAGCACCACGAGACCCACGACUGUAUCGGGGCUCACGGUAAGUAGGCGUGGGUGUGGGGGGGUGAGCGUUGCGUUGCUGGGGGGCCCAUCCCAGCGUGGGGAAGAG
rnacentral:lncRNA from 1 species